rnacentral:rRNA from 1 species
AGAGUUUGAUCAUGGCUCAGGACGAACGCUGGCGGCGUGCUUAACACAUGCAAGUCGAACGAUGAUCCGGUUUCGGCCGGUGAUUAGUGGCGAACGGGUGAGUAACACGUGGGUAAUCUGCCCUGCACUCUGGGAUAAGCCUGGGAAACUGGGUCUAAUACCGGAUAUGACCUUCGGUCGCAUGAUCGUUGGUGGAAAGCUUUUGCGGUGUGGGAUGGGCCCGCGGCCUAUCAGCUUGUUGGUGGGGUGAUGGCCUACCAAGGCGACGACGGGUAGCCGGCCUGAGAGGGUGACCGGCCACACUGGGACUGAGACACGGCCCAGACUCCUACGGGAGGCAGCAGUGGGGAAUAUUGCACAAUGGGCGCAAGCCUGAUGCAGCGACGCCGCGUGAGGGAUGACGGCCUUCGGGUUGUAAACCUCUUUCAGCAGGGAAGAAGCGCAAGUGACGGUACCUGCAGAAGAAGCACCGGCUAACUACGUGCCAGCAGCCGCGGUAAUACGUAGGGCGCAAGCGUUGUCCGGAAUUAUUGGGCGUAAAGAGCUCGUAGGCGGCUUGUCGCGUCGGUUGUGAAAGCCCGGGGCUUAACCCUGGGUCUGCAGUCGAUACGGGCAGGCUAGAGUUCGGUAGGGGAGACUGGAAUUCCUGGUGUAGCGGUGAAAUGCGCAGAUAUCAGGAGGAACACCGGUGGCGAAGGCGGGUCUCUGGGCCGAUACUGACGCUGAGGAGCGAAAGCGUGGGGAGCGAACAGGAUUAGAUACCCUGGUAGUCCACGCUGUAAACGGUGGGAACUAGGUGUGGGCAGCAUUCCACGUUGUCUGUGCCGUAGCUAACGCAUUAAGUUCCCCGCCUGGGGAGUACGGCCGCAAGGCUAAAACUCAAAGGAAUUGACGG